GGACUGUGAAUGUGUAGGUGGUGGAAGGAUACAAGUUGAUCCCUCUAAGAAAACACUCCAGAUUUAUGGAUAUUCACAGGGAUUUGGAAGAGCUGAACAUGCAAUUACUGCCAAGAUUUUGGAGAGAAAGUACAAGGAGCAUUUUACUUGCCUAUCUGAAUUAUCAUCUUGGUGUAGAAUUGAUGACGAGGUAUUGAUUUCUAUUUUCUGCCUGGUUUUGAUGUCCAAUUGAGAUUGAGACUUUUUAUGGCUGAAGAAAUGUGAGUAAAGAGUUUUUGUGUUUGCAAUGAUAUUCUGAUCCCAGUCUGCUAUGAAUUUCUGUUAAUUGAAAUUUUGGUGGUCAACCCUCAUACAGAUUGCUGGAGGUUGUGGGUGUCGGAGACAACGCGACUUUAUGCAAUUACAGACCCUUGUUAUAUCAGGUGCUUAAUAGUAAAUUGUGAAAAUCGAUUUCUUAUUCUGACUUUGCUGAUGAAGAAAUGUGGUUUAACGUCCUUUGGCAUUAUGGUUAAAUUUUAUUUCAAUAAUAUACUUGUGUGUUUGGGUCUGUAGCAGUGGGAGGAAACCAGGAAAAAAUUACAAGGUCUUUAGCAGUGGGAGGAAACCAGAGGACCUGGAGAAAAACUACAAGGUGGACAGGCAACCCAACGCCCUGAACACUAAAAACAUGGGUGUAAUCCAUAGCAGUUUCACUGUGUGACAGAACCUUUUGCAGUGGGAGAAAAUCCACAAGGUAGGACAGGCCCUAGUCCUUGUCAUUUACAAUCAAUGACUCGCAUCCACAGCGUUAAUCAUUUGCUCACACAUCAUCCUUAAACCUUUGAGAAGAACCAAGCUGGAAAAUUUGAAUAUUUCUUGACUAAAUGGGGAUUGAAUAUUGGACCUACAGGUUAGCAAGUUACAAGAAGGGCUACCAAAAGGAAUGCCUACUAAGAAUAUUUUAAUUUUUGGAGCCUAUUCAGACGCUUUUAUCUCGAAAACCUCUCUUAUUUUCUUUCUUAAACUUAUGUUACUUAGAGUCCUGACGGUGGUCUAUGGUGUGAAUCCAAAUUUAAACGCCUCAAUAUAGUAUAAAGUCGAAAAAUCGUUAUAUCUGUAAAUCUGCUACUAAUGGUAUAAGGGAGGUAAAACUGUCCAAUAGAUCUGGAGGCAGACCACCAUUAAUUUCCCCAUUGACUUCAAUGUUAAUUCUGGCCUCUUUGCCCACCUCCAACUUUUCCCCAAAUUUUCGUUGGGCUGAAUGCUUUUCACUACAGACAGAGGAACAAAUGGUCAUGUCUUUGCACUAAAAUUUGUAUGAGGUUGACCACCAAAAUUUUGAGAUACACAAACUUGAAGAAGCAUACUAAAAACAUGUAACUAGUUGCCGCACAUAUCGCCGUAGCUAACCUGAUAACCCUCUUAUCCUUUCGCCUCAAAAUCAUGAAUAUUUACCAAAACCUGGCAGAAAAUGUUAAUUCAAACCCUCUCCGUCCAUUCUAGACCAGAAAAUCAACACAAAUGGGCAUGCAAAAGGGGAGAAAAGAGAGAGAGAGAGAAUUGCUAUAAAUAGACGAACUACAAUUCGUGGGUACCAAGAUGAUGAAAUUUAAUGGUGGUCUGCCUCCAUCUUUCUGAAACUUCUGGUACAGGAAGUUAAGUUCCCAUACCACUUGUUAAAUCUAUCCCGAUAAUGAUCCGUAAACAGGAAGUAGUCAAAAAAAUAUUUGAUAAUUUAAAAAAAAAAGACAGUAAAAAAAUCGGUGCUCUUGCAACAAUCGGGAUUUGACCGGAUCAAAACAUCUAAAGUAUCAUUUGGUAGCUCGAUGAAUGGGCUAUUGUAUGAAACACUUCCUGUCUGAUUCCUGAAAUCUGGUUCAGUGCUGCUUGCAGGUCUAGUUAUUAUUUUUUUUCGCCGGAGCCUAUUUCUCAGUGCCUGUAACAGAUACCGAUAUGGGACCUAAUUUUCUAUCGGGAAACCAUGUGGUGGCUACUUGAUAAACUAUUUUUGAAACUUCUGCGCAGACCGGAAGUGGCCGAAUUUCGUGCGGUGCAUAAAAAUUAAAAAACGGCCGUAGCUUCGUCAAUUCUGUACCCAUUUUCAUACAAAUGACAUUUUCAGAAACCCUGAGUCUUUUCUCGGACGAUAGCAGUUGAAAAUUUCGAAACUUCGUCGCUGACUUCUAGCGUUUUGUUAUUUUUCAAAAUUUUCAAAUUUGACCUACAUUUUUGGAUACGUGAAGACCAUCCGAUUCCAGAAAUUUCUUUCAUUCCGAGUUAUCGCCCUUUAUUUUUCUGCCCAUUUUCAGCCCAUUUCCCAGCCCUUAUAUUUUUGGGAAAGGAUAAAUCGAUAUUUCUGAAAGUCCUGGAACAUAAACCAAUAUAGUCAGACCGCUGGAUAAAGCAAUUUCAACAACGGUCCGUAAACCGGAAGUAGUCGAAAUAAUGCUCGAUAAUUUGAAAAAAAUGUGUGCUUUUGGGGAAAAACGGGAUUUCUCCGUCCAAUUUCAACGGAUUAAACAAAUUAAUGUAUCGUUGGGUAGCACGAUGAUUAGACUGUCAUAUGAUACCCAAGUCAUACGGAUACUAUGACCAGGCAGCAAACUAUGGCACGCUGAUAAUCAAGUAUUUUCUGAUUUGGAGCAUUUUUGGAGGCCUUUAUCUCGAAAACUGCUCCAAGAAUUUUUCUUAAACUUUCUGGAUCGAGAGUCCUUUCGGUAGUCUUGUGCAUGAAACCAUCCAAUAAGAUGGAAUAGGAUAAAAAAGGGACUGAAAAUCGAAAAAAGUCGAAAAAUCGUGAAAUUUUGGAACAUGCUCUAUUACAUGGAAAACAGCUGAAUGGAUUUUUCUGAAACUUCUUAUACAGAAGGUUAGGUAACCAAACAACUUGUUAAAACUAUCCCGACAAUGAUCAAAAAACCGGAAGUAGUCGAAAAAAUAUCCAAUAUUUUGAAAAAAAAACGUAAAAAGUAAAAACCAGCGGCUGCCAGGCAGGAUACGCCCACAUUUUCGAGAGAUGGAUAGAGAACAAGCUAAAAAGAAAGUGAUUUUUCGUACAAUCAGGGGCCAUAAUUCAGGAAGUUACGGUCCAAUAAUAUCGAAAGGAACCGAGAUCUUUGGGUUAUAAACUUACAUUUCAAGUUUUGUCAAAAUAGGAUUAAAAUUGUGACGUCUAUAGGGUCCACAACCUUGAUAUACCAUAUUUUUAUGCUAUUUGAGAACAAAGGGCGGCCAUUUUGUCUGUCAGUUUUGGGCCGAUUUUCACGAGAUUCGAACUCAGCCGCCCUUAGGGUGUAACGGUGAUAUAAUAAUACGUUUUUUUAAAUCGGAUAAAAAUUAUGACCUCUAUAGGUUCCACAAGCUAAAAACACGAUUUUUCGUACAAUCAGGGGCCAUAAUUCAGAAAGUUACGGUCCAAUGUGCGCGAAUAUCGAAAGGAACCACGAUCUUUGGGUUAUAAACUUACAUUACAAGUUUCAACAAAAUCGGAUAAAAAUUGUGACCUCUAUAGGGUCCACAACCUUGAUAUACCAUAUUUUUAUGCUAUUUGAGAACAAGGGGCGGCCAUUUUGUCUUUCAGUUUUGGGCCGAUUUUCACGAAAUUCGAACUCAGCCGUCCUUAGGGUGUAACGGUGAUAUAAUAAUACGUUUUUUUAAAUCAGAUAAAAAUUAUGACCUCUAUAGGGUCCACAAAAGCUAAAAACGCAAUUUUUUGUACAAUCAGGAGCCAUAAUUCAGGUAGCUACGAUCCGAUAUAGCCCCAAUAAUGGACGUUCUUAUGACAUUCAAAUGAUACAAGGCAAUAGAUCAUUGGAUGCUGAAAAUCUAGAAUUUUACUUUUUAGAGCCUAUUCAGACGCUUUUAUCACGAAAACUACUAUAAAUUUGUUUCUUAAACUUCGGUUACUUAGGCUCCUAACGGUGGUUUAGGAUGUGAAUGCAAAUCUAAAAGGGUCAAUAUAGCAUAAACGGUCCAAAAAGGGCCCCAAUCUUUGAAAAAAAAGUCGAAAAAAAUCGCUAUAUGAUUGAUAACACUUGUAACUACUCCUAACAAAAUGGACUCAGACUAGCAAUUAUUUGCUAAAUAUCGUUACAUAUCCGAUAUUUUGAGAGAAAAAAAACAGUAAAAGAUUGGUACUCUGGCGAAAAUCGAGAUUUCUCCGUCGGGUGCCAUUGAAUCAAAACAAGUAAAUUAUCGUUUGGUGGCUGAUGUGGCUAGAUGGAUGCAGAACACUAUUAAUUUUGCAUAUCUCGGUAGUGCCGGUUAUUUUUAGAUAUAUUUUUCUCCCUUCUUUUAUGGCAUAUUGUUUGCCUAUCUGUAUUGACAUUUUCGUGUAGAAUUGAUGAAGAGGUAUUGAAUAUCUAUGUUCUGCCUGAUUUGGUGUCUGUCUCGUUUCUUUUUUGCCAUUGUGAUUGCCUAUCUGUAUUGACAUUUAGGUUUAGAAUUGAUGAAGAGGUAUUUAAUUUCUAUUUUCUGCCUGGUUUGAGACUUUUAUGGCAUAAUAAUACACCAAGUUGAGAA